ensembl:snRNA U6 U6 spliceosomal RNA
GUGCUCACUUCAGAAGCACAUAUACUGAAAUUGGAACAAUACAGAGAUCAGCAUGGUCCCUGUGUAAGGAUGACAUACAAAUUCGUGAAGCACUGCAUAUUAAA